ensembl:lncRNA novel transcript, antisense to VPS53
GACGAGCUCACACUGACUCCUGCUGACUGCCCUGCUCUGCUGCCGCCGCUGCUCUUGGCAACCAGGGAGCAGAGAAAUGGCUGAAGACAGAAGGGUGUACUCUGGCCUGUUGAGAUGGCUUAGGAGAAUGGAACCACAUGGUCACCAAGCAGACAACGGCAGCAGUGGGGUGACAGCUCCCAAUGCCACCACUCAACUCCGGUGAUAACGGCCAAACUUAUAUUCAGGGCAAGGCCUGUACUCUCUGCCACUGCCUGCUUCUUUGGGAAAGCCUUCUGUAAUCCUAUCAGAGACAGGGGUCUCACCGUGUUGCCCAGACUGGUCUUGAACUCCUGGGUUCAAGCAAUCCUCCUGCCUCAGCCUCCCAAAGUGCUGGGAUUACAGGUGUGAGCUACCACGCCUGGCCCAAAGAACUCUUUCAAAAAAGGAAACAAACAGUACCUUGCAUUGGAAGAACAAACAUCAUGAAAAGCCAUCA